GCCAGACUCCUACGGGAGGCAGCAGUGGGGAAUAUUGGGCAAUGGGCGCAAGCCUGACCCAGCAACGCCGCGUGAAGGAAGAAGGCUUUCGGGUUGUAAACUUCUUUUCUUGGGGACGAAGAAAGUGACGGUACCCAAGGAAUAAGCCACGGCUAACUACGUGCCAGCAGCCGCGGUAAUACGUAGGUGGCAAGCGUUAUCCGGAUUUAUUGGGUGUAAAGGGCGUGUAGGCGGGAAUGUAAGUCAGAUGUGAAAACGAUGGGCUCAACCCAUAGCCUGCAUUUGAAACUGUAUUGCUUGAGUGCUGGAGAGGCAAGCGGAAUUCCGUGUGUAGCGGUGAAAUGCGUAGAUAUACGGAGGAACACCAGUGGCGAAGGCGGAUUGCUGGACAGUAACUGACGCUGAGGCGCGAAAGCGUGGGGAGCAAACAGGAUUAGAUCCCCGAGUA
rnacentral:rRNA from 1 species